AUUUAUUUUUUAUUGGAAAAUUAUUCAAAAAUUAUUCACAGUUCACAGCCAGACUUUUGCCGCUUUGGCUGAUUGGCUAGCGGAGAUGCCAUAUGAUGCCAUAUGCAUAUGCGGACGUUUUUAAUUGCAAAACUGAAAAUGGCAAUGCUGCACCUCGCGCGUUACUUUCAAAAUGGCUGCUGGCAUUGGUCGACACGACGAGAAUCGACAACAACUGAUAGAUCCCCACAGUAGUGAUCGUCCUGGUUUGUAAUGUGCCAGUUCUCGUGAAAUCUUGAGCUGAACGCCAAAUAUCAGGCUAGAUGCCUAGAUCUUUCUAAGGUAAGGCAAUUUGAUUUUUCGAAGAAAUUGUGCUUAUCGCGUGCUGUGGUUUGUUGGGUAAUUCAGCAUGCUAAAUGAUUCUUGACUCUAGAUUUUCGGGGUAUUUGGGAAAUGAGAACUACAGAAGCAGAUGUUUGAUAUAGGCCUAUUCACUUCAGCCUGCAUUUACUUAUUCAAAUGUCAAUUUUGGGGUAGUCAAUAGGUGUGUAAAAUUGUGUCCACCAGGUGGCGGAGUGUUUGUUCGUGAGUGAGUGACGGUGAGCGGUGACGAUUCCGCCAUUUGCUUUUUGAGACAGACGGAAAUGUAAAUGUGUUGCUGACGGUGUUUUUCGCUUUUACUUUGAAAAACCAUGAGGUAUUUCCACGCCAUUCGACCAAGCUGAAUUGAAAGUGAACAAUUCAAAAGCAAGUUACAUGUCGAAGAUCUUCUACCUUACUCCACGUUAUCGCUGCCAUGUCACGAAGAUGCGCUUUUCAGAGGGUCUCUACUAAAUUGCAAGACAAAAUGUGAUGAAAACACUCAGGAAAUCUGAUGGUAAUAAUGUAUUGUAAGAUAAAUCAAGUAGGGUAGCAUUUUGUUCUUGAUGUCGAAGACAAGUGACAUCUUAUUUCAUGCUUCUAAAUAAGUUAGCUUUUGUGGAAAGUUCUUGUAAAGAGUUGUAAAUUUUGUUAGAUCUAACGGAACAGAAAUUCCCUUCAUUCUUAAAAACAUAACACAGUCUAUGGUCAUAUUUUUGAUUUCUUUUUCCCUAGUUUAGUGUACAUUUGAAGUUAAUCAUUGCCUUAACUACUAGGUGUUUUUUGGGCCAUUAAUGUUAUUUUCCUUUGUGUGAUUCCAUGGUCAGUUUGAUGUUUGAGUUGUUUUGGUGUUGCUGUUGUGCAGUGGUUUUGCAGCCCUUUUCCAGUUGAGAGCUGCACUUGAAUGGAGCUUGUGCAGACUUGCAGUUGAACAUCAUACUUAAAUGUGUCAUUUGCCUAUGUUGGUGUCCAUGCAGUGUUGAACAGUUGGGUAAAAUAGUCAAUGUUGCCUGAUGGCUGUCGGGCUUAUUUUAUCGGCUUCGUUUUGUCGAAAUGUCGUCGCUUGCUACCUGUUCCGGCGUAUAGUUCAAUCGUUUGCCGCCUUUCCAUAGACUUGAUCCAUUGGUGAAACUGAGAUAAUUCAAGACUCGUCAAUAAAUUAUGUAGAUAGAAAUAAAUUACAAGUGCAUAUCUGGGCUCCCUUCUUCAGUGGCCCCGUUUCCCUAAAUAACCACUAACUAACGCCCGCCGGUGGUCACUCACUCGCUGCGACAACCAGGAGGAAGGGAGAUGUUUGGUCGAACGGGGACUUGCAAGGCGUAUGAUUCGAUGAAAUCUGUUGGAGGGUCAUGAGUCUAAGCCGGAAAUCUACUAUGACACACUGCUCUCAUAAUAACUGCUCCUCAGCUCUCUUCGCUCUUUUUCCGGUUUCUCUUAACCAUGGCCGGGUAAUCUCCCUGGUUGAGUCAGUCGGGCAGUGUCUCCCCUUGCUUGACUGGCAGCAGUUUGAACCGGACAGUCUGUUUAAUAAAUAAACUAUUUUUUUAUACGUCAAA